rnacentral:lncRNA from 1 species
ACAUCUUUGCCUAGUUCCUCUGUUCUGUUACUAAUUUCGAAUGGCCUCAUGUUUCCAGCAUUGUUAAUACACUCUUUUUUUUUUUUUUUUUUUUUUUUACAGUGAAGGGCCUGUCUAAUAAGAAAUGGCAGAAUGAUGGUUUCGAGGCAACACUUAAGUUAUCUGUGGAUGAAUCCUUUGCUGAAUCACCUUCACUGGAUAAGACAGGACAUACAAUGGUUCUAUAUAUAUGCUGUGCACAUUACUUCCAUGGAAGCCUGAAGAGACUGUGCCCUUGUCAGAACAUGAUAAGCUGCAGAGUGCCUCCUGAUAUGCAAGAAAGAUGUUGGGUCCAGGAUUUGACUUGCAAGUUGUGAUCAACUUAAUUCCUCUGUGAUAUUCAGUAGUAUGCAUCUCAAGACUAAGAAGUUGAUACAAAGCAGACUUCAUCAGUCAGUGCUGCUGUUACUGCGUGGCAGCCCCUGCUCUUCUAAUGUUCUAGAACUGGGUGGACAAUUUCCG